UACGUAGGGGGCAAGCGUUGUCCGGAAUCAUUGGGCGUAAAGAGCGUGUAGGCGGCUUGACAAGUCUGGUGUGAAAUCUUGCGGCUCAACCGCAAGCGGUCACUGGAAACUGUCUCGCUAGAGUCCGGAAGAGGAGAGCGGAAUUCCUGGUGUAGCGGUGGAAUGCGCAGAUAUCAGGAAGAACACCCGUGGCGAAGGCGGCUCUCUGGGACGGUACUGACGCUGAGACGCGAAAGCGUGGGGAGCAAACAGG
rnacentral:rRNA from 1 species